AAUCCAUAGGUUAAUGAGGCGAACCGGGGGAACUGAAACAUCUAAGUACCCCGAGGAAAAGAAAUCAACCGAGAUUCCCCCAGUAGCGGCGAGCGAACGGGGAGGAGCCCAGAGCCUGAAUCAGCAUGUGUGUUAGUGGAAGCGUCUGGAAAGGCGCGCGAUACAGGGUGACAGCCCCGUACACAAAAGCGCAUGUGCUGUGAGCUCGAUGAGUAGGGCGGGACACGUGGUAUCCUGUCUGAAUAUGGGGGGACCAUCCUCCAAGGCUAAAUACUCCUGACUGACCGAUAGUGAACCAGUACCGUGAGGGAAAGGCGAAAAGAACCCCGGCGAGGGGAGUGAAAAAGAACCUGAAACCGUGUACGUACAAGCAGUGGGAGCACAGGUUUACCUGUGUGACUGCGUACCUUUUGUAUAAUGGGUCAGCGACUUAUAUUCUGUAGCAAGGUUAACCGUAUAGGGGAGCCGUAGGGAAACCGAGUCUUAAC
rnacentral:rRNA from 4 species